GACGAACGCUGGCGGCGUGCCUAAUACAUGCAAGUCGAACGAACCGCGACUAGGUGCUUGCACUUGGUCAAGGUGAGUGGCGAACGGGUGAGUAACACGUGGGUAACCUACCUCAUAGUGGGGGAUAACAGUCGGAAACGACUGCUAAUACCGCAUAGGACAUAGGAUCACAUGAUUCUGUGAGGAAAGGUGGCGCAAGCUAUCGCUAAGAGAUGGACCCGCGGUGCAUUAGCUAGUUGGUAGGGUAAAGGCCUACCAAGGCGAUGAUGCAUAGCCGACCUGAGAGGGUGAUCGGCCACAUUGGGACUGAGAAACGGCCCAAACUCCUACGGGAGGCAGCAGUAGGGAAUCUUCCGCAAUGGAAGCAAGGCUGACGGAGCAACGCCGCGUGAGUGAAGAAGGUCUUCGGAUCGUAAAGCUCUGUUGUUAGAGAAGAACAGCGCAUAGAGUAACUGUUAUGCGUGUGACGGUAUCUAACCAGAAAGCCACGGCUAACUACGUG
rnacentral:rRNA from 1 species